GGGGCUGACCGGUUUUGACAGCGUGUAGAGGUGGUGUGUAAGCAUGCAGAGCCAUGAUGGAAGGCGCUCUUUAAACUCCGACAUCACACUUUUUAAAUGGCGAAAACAACUACGCUCUUGCUGCCUGAUUGAAGCACAGUAAAUCAGCUUAAUCUCCGCAACAGUUGCAGAGACAAGACAUCGCCCGAUUGUCCUGGUCCCGAGACUAAUCGACAAGGCGGUGCAGAUAAAUCGGGAAUAGCGCAAGCUGAGCCUCGCGACCGGCGCGAAAACUUAGAGGCUAAGGAUGCGGUUGGUAGUCUACGGCCUGCCGCACCACGAAAACCAAGCGAAGACUAAGCAUGUAGAAAGCACAUUAGUUCCGCGUUUGGACGAGGGUUCGAAUCCCUCCAGCUCCACU
rnacentral:tmRNA from 1 species